rnacentral:rRNA from 1 species
AAGUAUAAAGAGAGAGAUUUGACACGUCAGAUGACGCUGGCGGCGUGCCUAAUACAUGCAAGUCGAGCGAACGGACGAGAAGCUUGCUUCUCUGAUGUUAGCGGCGGACGGGUGAGUAACACGUGGAUAACCUACCUAUAAGACUGGGAUAACUUCGGGAAACCGGAGCUAAUACCGGAUAAUAUUUUGAACCGCAUGGUUCAAAAGUGAAAGACGGUCUUGCUGUCACUUAUAGAUGGAUCCGCGCUGCAUUAGCUAGUUGGUAAGGUAACGGCUUACCAAGGCAACGAUGCAUAGCCGACCUGAGAGGGUGAUCGGCCACACUGGAACUGAGACACGGUCCAGACUCCUACGGGAGGCAGCAGUAGGGAAUCUUCCGCAAUGGGCGAAAGCCUGACGGAGCAACGCCGCGUGAGUGAUGAAGGUCUUCGGAUCGUAAAACUCUGUUAUUAGGGAAGAACAUAUGUGUAAGUAACUGUGCACAUCUUGACGGUACCUAAUCAGAAAGCCACGGCUAACUACGUGCCAGCAGCCGCGGUAAUACGUAGGUGGCAAGCGUUAUCCGGAAUUAUUGGGCGUAAAGCGCGCGUAGGCGGUUUUUUAAGUCUGAUGUGAAAGCCCACGGCUCAACCGUGGAGGGUCAUUGGAAACUGGAAAACUUGAGUGCAGAAGAGGAAAGUGGAAUUCCAUGUGUAGCGGUGAAAUGCGCAGAGAUAUGGAGGAACACCAGUGGCGAAGGCGACUUUCUGGUCUGUAACUGACGCUGAUGUGCGAAAGCGUGGGGAUCAAACAGGAUUAGAUACCCUGGUAGUCCACGCCGUAACGAUGAGUGCUAAGUGUUAGGGGGUUUCCGCCCCUUAGUGCUGCAGCUAACGCAUUAAGCACUCCGCCUGGGGAGUACGACCGCAAGGUUGAAACUCAAAGGAAUUGACGGGGACCCGCACAAGCGGUGGAGCAUGUGGUUUAAUUCGAAGCAACGCGAAGAACCUUACCAAAUCUUGACAUCCUUUGACAACUCUAGAGAUAGAGCUUUCCCCUUCGGGGGACAAAGUGACAGGUGGUGCAUGGUUGUCGUCAGCUCGUGUCGUGAGAUGUUGGGUUAAGUCCCGCAACGAGCGCAACCCUUAAGCUUAGUUGCCAUCAUUAAGUUGGGCACUCUAAGUUGACUGCCGGUGACAAACCGGAGGAAGGUGGGGAUGACGUCAAAUCAUCAUGCCCCUUAUGAUUUGGGCUACACACGUGCUACAAUGGACAAUACAAAGGGCAGCGAAACCGCGAGGUCAAGCAAAUCCCAUAAAGUUGUUCUCAGUUCGGAUUGUAGUCUGCAACUCGACUACAUGAAGCUGGAAUCGCUAGUAAUCGUAGAUCAGCAUGCUACGGUGAAUACGUUCCCGGGUCUUGUACACACCGCCCGUCACACCACGAGAGUUUGUAACACCCGAAGCCGGUGGAGUAACCUUUUAGGAGCUAGCCGUCGAA